rnacentral:rRNA from 1 species
CCUACGAGAGGCAGCAGUGAGGAAUAUUGGGCAAUGGGCGGAAGCCUGAACCAGCCAAGUAGCGUGCGGGAUGAAGGCCCUACGGGUCGUAACCCGCUUUUGCACGGGGAUAAGACGCUCCACUUGUGUAGGUCUCCAGUUACCGUGCGUAUAAGGGCCGGCUAAGCCCGUGCCAGCAGCCGCGGUAAUAUGGAAGGCCCGAGCGUUAUCCGGAUUCAUUGGGCUUAAAGGGAGCGUAGGCGGGAGGUCAAGUCAGCUGUAAAAGCGCGCGGCUCAACCGCGCUACGCAGUUGAAACUGGACGCCUUGAGUUCACAACAGGCAGGCGGAAGUCGAGGUGUAGCGGUGAAAUGCAUAGAUAUCACGAGGAACCCCGGUUGCGAAGGCAGCCUGCCGGGGUGCGACUGACGCUGAGGCUCGAAGGUGCGGGUAUCAAACAGGAUUAGAUACCCCUGUAGUC